AGUGUGGUAACAUAGAGGUUAUGUAACGAUUUGCAAAAUCGUAAAACAUUGGUUCGAAUCCAAUCCACACUU
rnacentral:tRNA from 1 species